rnacentral:rRNA from 1 species
UUAAGCGACUAAGCGUACACGGUGGAUGCCCUGGCAGUCAGAGGCGAUGAAGGACGUGCUAAUCUGCGAUAAGCGUCGGUAAGGUGAUAUGAACCGUUAUAACCGGCGAUUUCCGAAUGGGGAAACCCAGUGUGUUUCGACACACUAUCAUUAACUGAAUCCAUAGGUUAAUGAGGCGAACCGGGGGAACUGAAACAUCUAAGUACCCCGAGGAAAAGAAAUCAACCGAGAUUCCCCCAGUAGCGGCGAGCGAACGGGGAGCAGCCCAGAGCCUGAAUCAGUAUGUGUGUUAGUGGAAGCGUCUGGAAAGGCGCGCGAUACAGGGUGACAGCCCCGUACACAAAAAUGCACAUAUUGUGAGCUCGAUGAGUAGGGCGGGACACGUGGUAUCCUGUCUGAAUAUGGGGGGACCAUCCUCCAAGGCUAAAUACUCCUGACUGACCGAUAGUGAACCAGUACCGUGAGGGAAAGGCGAAAAGAACCCCGGCGAGGGGAGUGAAAAAGAACCUGAAACCGUGUACGUACAAGCAGUGGGAGCACGCUUAGGCGUGUGACUGCGUACCUUUUGUAUAAUGGGUCAGCGACUUAUAUUCUGUAGCAAGGUUAACCGAAUAGGGGAGCCGAAGGGAAACCGAGUCUUAACUGGGCGUUAAGUUGCAGGGUAUAGACCCGAAACCCGGUGAUCUAGCCAUGGGCAGGUUGAAGGUUGGGUAACACUAACUGGAGGACCGAACCGACUAAUGUUGAAAAAUUAGCGGAUGACUUGUGGCUGGGGGUGAAAGGCCAAUCAAACCGGGAGAUAGCUGGUUCUCCCCGAAAGCUAUUUAGGUAGCGCCUCGUGAAUUCAUCUCCGGGGGUAGAGCACUGUUUCGGCAAGGGGGUCAUCCCGACUUACCAACCCGAUGCAAACUGCGAAUACCGGAGAAUGUUAUCACGGGAGACACACGGCGGGUGCUAACGUCCGUCGUGAAGAGGGAAACAACCCAGACCGCCAGCUAAGGUCCCAAAGUCAUGGUUAAGUGGGAAACGAUGUGGGAAGGCCCAGACAGCCAGGAUGUUGGCUUAGAAGCAGCCAUCAUUUAAAGAAAGCGUAAUAGCUCACUGGUCGAGUCGGCCUGCGCGGAAGAUGUAACGGGGCUAAACCAUGCACCGAAGCUGCGGCAGCGACGCUUAUGCGUUGUUGGGUAGGGGAGCGUUCUGUAAGCCUGUGAAGGUGUGCUGUGAGGCAUGCUGGAGGUAUCAGAAGUGCGAAUGCUGACAUAAGUAACGAUAAAGCGGGUGAAAAGCCCGCUCGCCGGAAGACCAAGGGUUCCUGUCCAACGUUAAUCGGGGCAGGGUGAGUCGACCCCUAAGGCGAGGCCGAAAGGCGUAGUCGAUGGGAAACAGGUUAAUAUUCCUGUACUUGGUGUUACUGCGAAGGGGGGACGGAGAAGGCUAUGUUGGCCGGGCGACGGUUGUCCCGGUUUAAGCGUGUAGGCUGGUUUUCCAGGCAAAUCCGGAAAAUCAAGGCUGAGGCGUGAUGACGAGGCACUACGGUGCUGAAGCAACAAAUGCCCUGCUUCCAGGAAAAGCCUCUAAGCAUCAGGUAACAUCAAAUCGUACCCCAAACCGACACAGGUGGUCAGGUAGAGAAUACCAAGGCGCUUGAGAGAACUCGGGUGAAGGAACUAGGCAAAAUGGUGCCGUAACUUCGGGAGAAGGCACGCUGAUAUGUAGGUGAAGUCCCUCGCGGAUGGAGCUGAAAUCAGUCGAAGAUACCAGCUGGCUGCAACUGUUUAUUAAAAACACAGCACUGUGCAAACACGAAAGUGGACGUAUACGGUGUGACGCCUGCCCGGUGCCGGAAGGUUAAUUGAUGGGGUUAGCCGCAAGGCGAAGCUCUUGAUCGAAGCCCCGGUAAACGGCGGCCGUAACUAUAACGGUCCUAAGGUAGCGAAAUUCCUUGUCGGGUAAGUUCCGACCUGCACGAAUGGCGUAAUGAUGGCCAGGCUGUCUCCACCCGAGACUCAGUGAAAUUGAACUCGCUGUGAAGAUGCAGUGUACCCGCGGCAAGACGGAAAGACCCCGUGAACCUUUACUAUAGCUUGACACUGAACAUUGAGCCUUGAUGUGUAGGAUAGGUGGGAGGCUUUGAAGUGUGGACGCCAGUCUGCAUGGAGCCGACCUUGAAAUACCACCCUUUAAUGUUUGAUGUUCUAACGUUGACCCGUAAUCCGGGUUGCGGACAGUGUCUGGUGGGUAGUUUGACUGGGGCGGUCUCCUCCUAAAGAGUAACGGAGGAGCACGAAGGUUGGCUAAUCCUGGUCGGACAUCAGGAGGUUAGUGCAAUGGCAUAAGCCAGCUUGACUGCGAGCGUGACGGCGCGAGCAGGUGCGAAAGCAGGUCAUAGUGAUCCGGUGGUUCUGAAUGGAAGGGCCAUCGCUCAACGGAUAAAAGGUACUCCGGGGAUAACAGGCUGAUACCGCCCAAGAGUUCAUAUCGACGGCGGUGUUUGGCACCUCGAUGUCGGCUCAUCACAUCCUGGGGCUGAAGUAGGUCCCAAGGGUAUGGCUGUUCGCCAUUUAAAGUGGUACGCGAGCUGGGUUUAGAACGUCGUGAGACAGUUCGGUCCCUAUCUGCCGUGGGCGCUGGAGAACUGAGGGGGGCUGCUCCUAGUACGAGAGGACCGGAGUGGACGCAUCACUGGUGUUCGGGUUGUCAUGCCAAUGGCACUGCCCGGUAGCUAAAUGCGGAAGAGAUAAGUGCUGAAAGCAUCUAAGCACGAAACUUGCCCCGAGAUGAGUUCUCCCUGACUCCUUGAGAGUCCUGAAGGAACGUUGAAGACGACGACGUUGAUAGGCCGGGUGUGUAAGCGCAGCGAUGCGUUGAGCUAACCGGUACUAAUGAACCGUGAGGCUUAACCUU